rnacentral:rRNA from 1 species
GACGAACGCUGGCGGCGUGCUUAACACAUGCAAGUCGAGCGGUAAGGCCCUUUCGGGGGUACACGAGCGGCGAACGGGUGAGUAACACGUGGGUGACCUGCCCUUAGCUCUGGGAUAAGCCUGGGAAACUGGGUCUAAUACCGGAUAUGACUCCAUGACGCACGUUGUGGGGUGGAAAGCCUUGUGCGGCUAGGGAUGGGCCCGCGGCCUAUCAGCUUGUUGGUGGGGUGAUGGCCUACCAAGGCGACGACGGGUAGCCGGCCUGAGAGGGCGACCGGCCACACUGGGACUGAGACACGGCCCAGACUCCUACGGGAGGCAGCAGUGGGGAAUCUUGCGCAAUGGGCGAAAGCCUGACGCAGCGACGCCGCGUGAGGGAUGACGG